rnacentral:rRNA from 1 species
CCGGGACCAUCCGGUAAGGCUAAAUACUCCCGAGAGACCGAUAGCGAACCAGUACCGUGAGGGAAAGGUGAAAAGCACUUCGAACAGAAGAGUGAAAUAGUUCCUGAAACCGUGCGCCUACAAGCGGUCGGAGCUCGUUAAUGAGUGACGGCGUGCCUUUUGCAUAAUGAACCUACGAGUUGCCUUUGCCGGCAAGGUUAAGUGUGACGACACACGUAUCCGAAGCGAAAGCGAGUCUGAACAGGGCGUAUAGUCGGCAGUGGCAGACGCGAAACCAAGUGAUCUACCCUUGGCCAGGUUGAAGGCUGGGUAACACCAGCUGGAGGACCGCACCAAUAAGCGUUGAAAAGCUUCUGGAUGAGCUGAGGGUAGGGGUGAAAGGCUAAUCAAACUUGGAGAUAGCUCGUACUCCCCGAAAUGCAUUUAGGUGCAGCCUUGCGGGUUACUGAUGUGAGGUAGAGCGACUGAUAAGAUGCGAGGGCUUCACCGCCUAUCAAGUCUUGACAAACUCCGAAUGCGCAUCAGUUCUACCGCAGGAGUGAGGGCAUGGGUGCUAAGGUCCGUGCCCGAGAGGAGAAGAAUCCGGACCACCUGCUAAGGUCCCGAAAUGACAGCUAAGUUAAACUAACGAAGUCUGACUGCUAAGACAGCUAGGAUGUUGGCUUGGAAGCAGCCAUUCAUUUAAAGAGUGCGUAACAGCUCACUAGUCGAGGAGUCGGGCGUGGAUAAUAAUCGGGUAUUAAGUUGUCUACCGAAGCAGUGGGAUCAUUGAUAUGAUCGGUAGGGGAGCAUUCCAGUCAGCGUCGAAGGCGUACCGUGAGGUAUUCUGGAGCGUCUGGAAAAGCAAAUGUAGGUAUAAGUAACGAUAAAGGGGGCGGGAAACCCCCUCGCCGAAAGACUAAGGUUUCCUGAUCAACGCUAAUCGGAUCAGGGUCAGUCGGGUCCUAAGGCUCAGCCGAACGGCGAUGCCGAUGGCAGAAACGGUUAAUAUUCCGUUACUACCUUCAGGAGUGACGUGGAGACGCAGUAGUGACAGUGCCGCCAUCUGACGGAAUAGAUGGUUGAAGGGUGUAGGAGUCGAUCAUGGCAGGCAAAUCCACCAUGAGAUCCGAACCUGACAGUAUGCCGCGUCCUUCGGGACAAGGCAAUAGUGCGCGUAAGCAUGCUGCCGAGAAAAUCCGCUAAACUUAAUCCUGCAGGUACCCGUACCGCAAACGGACACACGUAGUCGGGAUGAAUAUUCUAAGGCGCUUGAGUGAUUCACGGUUAAGGAACUAGGCAAACUGACCCUGUAACUUCGGGAUAAAGGGUCCCUACCCUUUUAUGGGAGGGCGCAGAGAAUCGGUCCAGGCAACUGUUUAACAAAAACACAGGGCUGUGCCAAAUCGAAAGAUCCAGUAUACAGCCUGACACCUGCCCGGUGCUGGAAGGUUAAGAGGAGAUGUCAUCGAUAAGAGAAGCGUUGAAUUGAAGCCCCAGUAAACGGCGGCCGUAACUAUAACGGUCCUAAGGUAGCGAAAUUCCUUGUCGGGUAAGUUCCGACCUGCACGAAUGGUGUAAUGAUCUGGACGCUGUCUCAACCGUGAGCUCAGUGAAAUUGUAGUAUCGGUGAAGAUGCCGAUUACCCGCGAUGGGACGAAAAGACCCCGUGAACCUUUACUAUAGCUUAUCAUUGAAUCUGGGCACGUGAUGUGUAGGAUAGGUCGGAGGCUUUGAAGCAGGUACGCCAGUAUUUGUGGAGCCGCUGUUGAAAUACGACCCUUUAUUUGUUUGGAUUCUAACCCGUGGAUACGGGGACAUUGAUUGGUGGGUAGUUUGACUGGGGUGGUCGCCUCCAAAAGCGUAACGGAGGCUUCUA